UACGGGGGGGGGUAAGCGUUGUUCGGAAUUACUGGGCGUAAAGGGCUCGUAGGCGGCCAACUAAGUCGGAUGUGAAAUCCCCAGGCUCAACUUGGGAACUGCAUCCGAUACUGGAUGGCUUGAAUUCGGGAGAGGGAUGCAGAAUUCCACGUGUAGCGGUGAAAUGCGUAGAGAUGUGGAGGAACACCGAUGGCGAAGGCAGCCUUCUGGGCCAAUUACUGGACGCUCAUGCACGAAAGCGUGGGGAGCAAACAGG
rnacentral:rRNA from 1 species